CCACAGAUAAGUGAUAUCAUAUGAUCUUUGUCUUUCUCUGUCUGACUUACUUCACACAGUGUAAUAAUCUCUCGGCAGGACUAUGUCUUUGGAGCUAAAAUGAGUUCAUUUUCUCUUUGGAACAACUACACUGGGACAAUUUUUAUACUAGUUCGGGUGUUUGCCAUAAGUAACAAUUCACUGGGCCAAAAAGAGUGGAACAAAGCAUGAGCAUGAUAGUAAAAGCAUCGAGGAGUCUUCCACGCUCCAUGUUUAAUCCAUUCAAUUUCCUGCUAAAGUGGAAUUCCUCGCAUCACCGUCAGCCCUUCAGGUCAGCGUAGAGCAGCAGUCUCCUUUGACUCUUCUGGAAGCUUUCCACUUUGGAACUCCCAAAGAGUGGCCAGCAGUGACCAAGACGGGUUCUCUUCUGCUGUGUGGUUCAUGAAACUGGAGGGCUGGCAGCGUGCUUCUGGUUGCCAUGGAAAUGACCAGGGCCACUGGCCUUCUGGAAACGGAAAAGAACAGCAAGUGCAAGAACAGGCAUUCCGUCCUUCCUGCCGGCAGAUCACACCAGCUGUCAAGCCUGAGUGAAGGAUCAGCCCGGGAGUGCAGGAGACAACCUCUUAGUGGAGCUCUGAGAUGUGAGUUUCAAUGAAUCGGCUCAUGAAGGGGAACCUGGC
rnacentral:lncRNA from 1 species